GUUUUUUUUUUUAGUUUUAGAAAACGCUAGUGUCAUCAUGUCCUUGACUACCAUACAGCUUGGUUUGUAACCUAAAAGCACAAUUAACCUGAAAUCACAAUUAACCUGAAAGCACAAUUAACACCUAUGGUUUCUACAACUACUGUAAAACAGUACCAGCCAAACAUAUCAGUAGUUUCAUUAGAACUGACAAAAUUGAUGUUUUCAGAAACUGUAGUAUUCAUUGCCAAUACCGAAGUUUUGGAAUACUGCGGUAUUUUAAAAACUACACUGCCAAACUAGGCAUUACUGCAUAUAAGUUUCAUAAUGUAAUUUCGUCCAAAGCAUGGAGAUUCAGAGAUCAGGGGACGCCGGGAUGAGAUACCUCUCUGAGCUGAGCAGGGGAUGUGGAUUGGGGAGGACCGGAGGAUCAGCGGCUGAGGAAGCGACCGCGGAGCGGACUGGAAGUGGGUAGCUCCGGUAGUCCGGUCAGCAGGGCACGGUGGUGCGCCCUGCGCACCUGAUUGGACAGCAGCCGGCCGGGCACCAAGCGGGGCAGGCAGUGGCAAGUCGCGGGUGUCAGCCUUCAGGCCGGUCAGGAUCACAGGGCGGUCUACCGGUGGCUCCGGGCGGCCGGGCAAGGACGGCGAGGCAGGCGGCUCGUCUGGCUUCCAGGCGGCGGAUCGAAUAUUCCCGAGACUGGAGAAACAGGGUUGACCGACCGUGCGUGGCUGCUUCCGCUUCGGCACGACGCGACGAGCAGGGUAGGCUGUUAUUGGGCUUUUUUUCCUCCAAGCCCAUCUCUUAUAUUACCAUUUUUUUAGAGAGGUCCUGCAAAACGGGCCGGCCCAUUCUCACUAAAAGGAAAUGUCACGAAAAACAACCGACCUAGUGAUAACGCGCCACUGAACUAACGACUGAGCAUGUGUUAAAUUACAGCGCUCAAAUUUACCUAUUAUGUACAGCGGCAGAUCCUUUUUUAAUAAUUCGUUCAAGACAUAAGGACGUUUUCUUGAACAAAUUUUGAAACUCGAACAUUUUUUUAAAACGUGAUUUUUAGUAAAAAGUGAAUAAUUAUUGAAACCACGAAAAGAAUUUGAAAAUCCAAACAUUUAUUGAAUUUUAUAAGUUUAAAAUAUACAUUUCAUUUUUUUAACAUACGCCGAACAAUUUCUAACUACACGGUGUACAUUUUUGUGAUAUUUGAUGAACAAAUUCUAAAUAUACAUUGAAUAUUUUUGUAAUAUACGUUGAACAAUUUUGAACAACACGUUGAACAAUUUUUUAUAUACACUAAACAAAUAUUAAAUACAUAUUGAAAUUUUAGGGUGGAGCGUGGCCCACCAUGUGCCUCCUCCAAUGACCUGGAUCAGAGAAUAAAUGGAAGGGACUAUGCCAAAUUUGAUUUUUGCCGAACGAAUUUUCACGCCACACUCCUUAUGUGUACCGGCGUCUAAUUAACUUUUAUUUUUAAUUAUGUAUAUUUGCAGUCUUAUAGCAGAUAUAAUUUGCAACACAUACAUGACAACAUAUAAGAUCUGUUGCAAUCUAUGUAGGACACUAUGGUCACGAACAAGAAGUCGACAACGCAUAUGCUGCAACGCUUAUAUGCAUAUCUCUUGUGAAUUUUGCAACUUAUAGUCAAAACGUUGUACAAUAUGUGUUGCUUUAUAGGGUGUAUCCUUGUAGUGGAUGAGACAAUACAACACUUAUUUAUAGAAUGCCCCCUCGCGAGAUUACUCUGGCAAUCGAUUCAUAUAGCCUUUAACAUUAAUCCACCAACUAGCAUUGAAGGUUUAUUUGGGACCUGGCUAGCUGGUAUAGAUUUGCUUACUGCGUCUCGUAUUCGGAUUGGAAUAUGUGCGCUUUUUUGGGCUAUAUGGAACUGCAGAAAUGAUAUGAUCUUUAACAGACAAUAUUCCUUAACAUUCUUGCAGGUCAUUUUCAGAGCUACUGCUUGGAUCCGUACGUGAUCCUUACUCACUCGUAUGGAGUCCAGGGAGCCUUUGGUUACUGGGUGCAUCCAAUGUGAGACGGUAGCACGGGAUAUAUUCAACCGGUUUGGAUGGCGGUCUCUUAAUAGAAUAGGCGUUUAAUAUUCUAUUCUUUUACACAUGCCGGUUGUGGCUUUGAUAACUCUUUAAUUUUCGCUCCUCUUGCGAGCUGUAAUGGAGAUAAGACUAUUUUUGUUUUGAACUUCGUUUUUAAUAAAGAUGGCUGCAUGCAUUCUUCGGAUGCAGAGGCCGGGGGUAAGCCUCCUUUUAAAAAAAAAACUUAUCAAUAGCGUGGGGCUCUUACCCGGCGCUACUGCUAAGCAUCUACCUAUAAGGUAUUUCCUAGUAGUGCAUGGCGAAAUAAGAUUUAAGAACAAACAAGCCUCUUAUGUAAAGCAUAUAAUAUGGGGAUCAAAUAGCACAUCUUUUGUUGAGGAUAACUAACUUUCGGAGAACAAAAGUGCAAAAGCUGUGAAAACUAUGGAUCCCAAAUGAAAACGCAGGGGGGCAACUCAAGGAGGCGUUAGCUUGGCGAGGAACAUACAACCAACAAACAAGACAUUGAAGAGAGCGGUAGAGGGAAGUCCUGGCCACCGGUGCAGCACCGGGUGUGGGAAAGAAGAGAAGAGGCGCGACCAAGCAAACCCCAUGUGUGUACCAUAAUUGUUUCCGAACCGGAUUAUUUCAAAGAUUUUUCUUAAAAUAGUAAUCAGUUUUUAACAUGGAAAAAAUGGUAUCACUAAAAAUGAAAAAGUGUUGAUGUAUGUACAUAUGAAUAAAAAUUCCACCGCGUAUAUAAAAAUGUUUGUAUAUACAAAAAGGUUCAUGUAUUUUUUAGAAAUAGUUCAUAGCUAGUUUUUUUUAAUAUUCAUACACAUUUUGAAUAUAUAUUCAUGUACUCUAAAAAAAGAUGUUAAAAGUAAGUAUCCAAGAAGAAAAAGAACAUAAAUAGACAACAAAAAGGUGGAAAUAGAAAUAAAAAAAGAAAAAAAGAAAAGGUAAAACAAACUAAGCCGAAGUAUUGAAAGAAAAAGGAAAAGUCCGACUAAAGAAUCUGCCCAAUAGACUGACUGAAUCUACUCUCUACCAAGCAGACUGAACUUGCUGUAGCAGUUGAGCGUGAAUCUAGCUAGGAGCGAAGAAUGGGUCACACGGCCUGCAGCUCGCCCGCCCGCCCGAUUCCACAAGAAUCUCUCCUCUCCCCUGGUUUGUUACUUCACUCCAGUGCUUGGCGCAUCGAUCGCCCAUCCCACUCGACCCCCGCAACUCGCAUCACAGAACUCCUAUUCUUGUUGGCUGAUCAACCAAGUUCUCGUCGUCUCGAUCGAAAAUCUAUCGAUGGGGUCGUCGUUUAAGUCGGAGUGGGGGCCGGCGAUCUGCAUGGUGCUCAUCGAGCUGUUCACCACGGGGCAGCUGCUGCUCACCAAGGUGGUGGUCGACGCCGGCCUCAUGGUCUUCGCCCUCCUCACCUACCGCUUCUUCCUCGGCGCCGCCCUCGUCGUCCCUCUCGCCCUCAUCUUUGAGCCGUACGUCGUCGCUACUCUUCUCACCGCCCAUGCAUCUCAUCUUCAAGAUUUUAUUAUUACUCCCUCUGAUUCAUAUUAAUUGUCGCUGGUUUAGUACAAAGUUGUUAGAGGGAGCACUUAUUAAUUUAUGCGUGCAUGCAUUUCUGAUCGAUUAUAUUCAUGACGUGACGUGAUUGAAUUCCUUCUUUGCACUUAUAUUGAUAUGUGGUUCGUGUGUGCCUAUGGGUGGAUGGCAUGUUGUGUUUGCCUGUUGCCGCCGUGUCACUAGCAUGUACUCCUAAAAAAGUACUCCCUCUGUUUGAAAUUACUUGUCUCGAAAAUGGAUGUAUCUAGAACUAAAAUACGUCUAGAUACAUCCAUUUCUAUGACGAGUAAUUCCGAACGGAGGGAGUAUAAGAUUGUUUAGACCACGAAAGACUAUUUCUUUACAGAGGGAGUAGUCUCCAGACAAGUUUAGCUUGACAGACCAUUUGUCUUCUUUCCUGGUGGCCGAAGAAGCUACUGAGUUUGGCGGUGGGAACUGUAAACAUGACAACAACGCAACCUUGGGCGCCCGCCUUAUAAGUAGUAUGGAGGGUCAUCACAUCACUAGGGAAUCAAGGGGAAGUAGUGGCUACUGGCUAGGCCUACGCCCGGUCGAAAACAUAGCAAAACAUUUCAAAAAAAAAAAUCUCUGUAUUUUUUACAUCCCAGGAGCUCUGUAGCUCUGUAUUUUUUACAAAGCUGCUCGGAUGUCAUUUGGGAAUCAGACUUUGCAAAGACCUAUAACACUUGUUCAUAAUCAUUGUCACAAAGUUAGACAAUAUGGUCUACAAGUAACACUUAAGGCCGCAACAACGAAAAUUACGCUCGUAAAUUAAAACUACUCCCUCCGUUCGGAAUUACUCGUCACAGAAAUAGAUGUAUCUAGACGUAUUUUAGUUCUAGAUACAUCCAUUUUCGAGACAAGUAAUUUCAAACGGAGGGAGUAAUUGGAUACACUAGCACCACCUCAUGAUCAGAAAUUACAAUAUGCAUGAUCUUUGCAUUCAUAUUGAUCUGUUAUGUUCUUCCCUGCUGGACCAAUAUAUGGUUCGUGUUUGUCUAUGGCGUGUUUGUCUGUUGCGUUCACCGUGUCGCCAGCAUGUGGUCUGUUACUUCUGUACUGUGUUUAGCUAGAUAGGUUGUUUAUCUUCUUUCCUGAUGGACAAAGAAGCUAUACUGGGUUUGUAGGCGUGGGAAUCGUAACCAUAUCAAAUCUGAUAUGCCACACAUAUUUCCCAGGAUCUUUUUAAAAAAAUCAAUAAAAAAUGCAGCAAAGUCCAGCUAUUUCUCUCCAAAAAAAAAUCCCAGGAUCUCACUAGCCUUUUUUUUCGAAACGAAGGCAAAAGCUUUGCCUCAUCUCAUUAAUAAACAAAAACGGAAACAAAUUGCUUGGUUAAUUAACGAAGACCCGGGCGAAAACCGCUACAACACGCCCACAAGAAAGGGCACCCCGGUCGACUUGGCACCGACGAGACCACACACACCACCGACAAGGGGACACCGCCAAGGUUGUCUGCAAUGUCAUCGUCAUCACCUCUCCCCGAGCAGGCGACUCAGACCAUCGCUCACCAACGUCAUCGAUGCCACACAAGCCGUCAAACGGACCUCUGGCAUCACCGGCCACCUGCCGCGAUGCCGUGCAAGUCCAGCCCCGGGAUCUCACUAGCCUUUCAUGGCAACAACCUUGCAUGUUUCUCAUGUGGUUAUUUACCAGCAUGGGUUUAGCUCACGAUGUCUUUGGAAGCCCUCCGCCGAACGAGUAGUAUUUCACCACGAAAGGCUUACAAGGAAAUUCCACUAGUAUCCUACAGACUACGUACUCCCUCCGAUCCAAAUUAAUUGACAUAGAUUUAGUACUAAAGUUGUGUCAAUUAAUUUGGACUGGAGGGAGUACAUGAUACAGGUUUAGCUCAUUACUCUAAUGAAACCAAGUCUACGACAAAAGACUAGGAAUUACUUUAUUAAUUAAUUGGAGGCAUGUAGCUAACAGAGCAGGCCCUAAAUCUGAAAGAUUAGAAAGUUGAAAGUAUAGCUAAUUAGAUGCAAACACAAGUUCUCUGUAUAGCUAACAGAGCAUGCACCGCCCACCCAUAUUCAAAUAUUUAUUUUUUAGAGAUUGAGGAAUAACUAUUAUAUAUCCCUCAAACAUAAAGAGAAAAAUUAGAGGGUGUAGACAUCUUGCAAACACAAGUUCUCUGUACAUGCACGCCACUAGCUCACACAUAAAGAAUGACAAGCACUUGGUGAGUUGUUAGAGCCAGCACUCAUCUCCCCUCCCUCCCCGUAGCUUUGCCAUUCCCUCCUUGUCACUUUGCUCAAAGGCUAUCUCCAUUCUCCAAUUCUCCACCACGUACGUCCAGCGACAGUAAUGGGGGGCUCGACGAACGUGAUGGAAUGGUGGCCUGCCAUCUUCAUGUUGUUGAUCCAAAUUUUCACGACAGGGUUAAUGUUGCUCACGAAGGUGGUGGUGGACAGUGGUUCACUUGCUUGGACCUUGCUCACGUACCGCUUCUUCCUUGGCGCCAUCUUGACCAUCCCCUUGGCGAUGUUCUUUGAGAAGUUAGCUCUAAUUAACUACUGUUAUUUUAGCAUAUUUUUCUCCUUCUCAUGGUUGUCAUAUGACAGGGAACAUUUGGCAAGUAAUUAUCAAAAUGUGUCGUGAUAUAGAAACAUUUUGCAAAUGAUUAUCUGUUUACUUACCCUCAUCACCUCAUGUAGAGGGAGGUUGAAGGAGCUUAAACUGAAGGCGUUCAUAUGGAUUUUCACCAGUGCACUUGUGGGGUUAGUCAUUUCGUUCACAUCAUCUCAGUUCGGCAAUGGUUCUGAUAAAUAUCUACGCACAAAGUAGUAGUGAUUGUUGCUGUCACCUUCCAGAUUCACAAUUCCUGGUUUCGCCUACAUUGGCCUUGGAGACACAUCGCCAGGAUACGCGGUUAACUUCUAUAACAUCAUACCGAUUGCCGCCUUCAUCCUCGCGGUCCUUUUCAGGUAAACAAGAUGGAAAUAUAAUCACAAACGCCUGCUAUAGGAAUAUUGGGGCCAUAGAGGAAGGAACUGCAACAACCGACUGUUUUUUUUUCUCAGGAAGGAGCCACUGGACAUGAGGAGCCUGGUGGGGAACAUCAAGGUCAUUGGAACCCUAGUCUGUGUUGGAGGAACGCUGGUGAUCAGCCUGUACAAGGGCAAGGUGCUGCACCUUUGGCCCACAAAUAUCAUCGGCUACCACCCGAAGCAAGCCGGAGCUGCUUUUGGUCACCACCAUGUGCGUGGAACCAUCUUGCUCAUCACCAGCAGCCUCAGCCUCGCCGUUUGGUACACAGUACAGGUAUAUAACAAACAUAUAAGCAACAACUCACCAUUGCAAAGUCUCAAAUAAAUAGUAUUACCUAUAUAUCAUUAAUUUUGUACAGGUAUUUCAUGCAAAAUUCAACUACUCCUCCGAGGGAGUAUUACCUUUUUUUUAAUUCUUAAGCAAAGUGUGACCAAUACAGCUUAAUUAUAUAUGAGUUUGUAAUGAGCAGGCUCAGAUGCUAAAAGUGUUCCCAUACAAGUACUGGUCCACUGUCGCUACAUGCUUCGUGGGGAGCAUCCAAACGGCUGUCGUGGGGGUUGCCAUGAACAGAGAGAAGGCAACAUGGGCGCUCAAAUGGAACAUGAGCUUGCUCACCAUUGUGUACUCGGUAAAACUAUUCGGCUAUUCCUUUUGUUGUGCAUCAGUUCACUUUGUGGCUCUCAGUUGAAGGUCCUCAUUUACAUCUUGCUGCAGGCAAUACUCAACACUGCUGCCAAGUUUGUGAUGAUUUCGUGGGUCGUCACGCAGCGUGGGCCAACCUAUCCGGCCAUGUUUUGCGCCGUGACGGUGUUCUUCACUACUAUUCUUGACUCGUUGCUUCUCGGCCAUGAUCUGUCCGUUGGGAGGUAUGCUUACCACUUCUCUCCAUCCUAUGUUAAUAAGUGCAGAUUUUGGCUAACGUUCUUAAGACCGUAGGUAUAUACCAGAAUAUGCAUCGCCAAUUACUAACAUUAUUUUCUUAAAAAUUGUUGCUGAGUUUUCCUUGCAAUUAAUAAUCGAUCUGUUUACAUGCCUGCAGUGUUCUAGGCAUGUUCAUGAUUCUAGCUGGGCUCUAUCUUUUCCUUUGGGGAAAGAGAAAAGAAUCGGUACCUCCGAGUGAAGAAAAUCCAACGGAACAAAUGUUGUUUCAGAAUGGAGACAAGAAUGAUAAAUCAGUAGCUAAUGUAUGAUUAUUUCAUUUGGCAAUCUUACAAAAGGGACUAUUCAGAAGUUUGUGUAUACGAAAAACAGAGAAAAAAGGUCAAUACAGUUUGUGAUGUCCUCAACCAUUCAUCCAAUUUGAUCAUCACGUAAAAAGGUCAAUAUCCCAAAAUUGUUGAUUAUGGUUGAGUUUCUUCAUUUUAAUUAGCAAAAUUCAAACCAGAAAGUGAAAAUAGCAAAAUGACACAAUUAGUUCUAAGUUUUGUAGUUUCUUUGUUUGGUUUUAUAUGAAGUCCUCGAGCAUUGACCCUGCAUUAUUGUAUCUCUCCACUGCCUCAUGCUUUUCCUCCUGUCUGAAUGGAUCGAGAUGGAUCUGUGAGGGGGCCGGGGUGUGAAUAGGUCUCUACAAUAUUUAUGAUGCUUGCAAGGUCAAGGGACCAAAGUAAAACGCAGAUGAACGAGCUACGGUUAGGGACAAUCAAAGGCACGAGGAAACGAAGAUUUAUUUCGAUGUUCACUCCCUUGGAGGGGAGAUAAUCGCCGUUGGAGAGGUGGGAAUCCACAAAGUAAACCAACACCACAUUGCAUAAGAGCAACUCCAACACGCCGACCCAAACGGACACGCGCUUUGUCCGUUUUUUGUCCAUUUGGGUCAGCCGCCUGCUUGGCGUCCACCCUCUUUUUGAUUUGGAUCAGUCGUGUGCCCAAUGCUCGCGGCCCAUUUCAUGUCCUGAAGGAAAUAUGCCCUAGAGGCAAUAAUAAAGUUAUUAUUUAUUUCCUUAUAUCAUGAUAAAUGUUUAUUAUUCAUGCUAGAAUUGUAUUAACCGGAAACAUAAUACUUGUGUGAAUACAUAGACAAACAGAGUGUCACUAGUAUGCCUCUACUUGACUAGCUCGUUGAUCAAAGAUGGUUAUGUUUCCUAGCCAUUGACAUGAGUUGUCAUUUGAUUAACGGGAUCACAUCAUUAGGAGAAUGAUGUGAUUGACUUGACCCAUUCCAUUAGCUUAGCACUCGAUCGUUUAGUAUUCUGCUAUUGCUUUCUUCAUGACUUAUACAUGUUCCUAUGACUAUGAGAUUAUGCAACUCCCGUUUACCGGAGGAACACUUUGUGUGCUACCAAACGUCACAACGUAACUGGGUGAUUAUAAAGGUGCUCUACAGGUGUCUCCGAAGGUACUUGUUGGGUUGGCGUAUUUCGAGAUAAGGAUUUGUCACUCCGAUUGUCGGAGAGGUAUCUCUGGGCCCACUCGGUAAUGCACAUCACGAUAAGCCUUGCAAGUAUUGCAACUAAUGAGUUAGUUGCGGGAUGAUGUAUUACGGAAUGAGUAAAGAGACUUGUCGGUAACGAGAUUGAACUAGGUAUUAAGAUACCGACGAUCGAAUCUCGGGCAAGUAACAUACCGAUGACAAAGGGAACAACGUAUGUUGUUAUGCGGUUUGACCGAUAAAGAUCUUCAUAGAAUAUGUAGGAGCCAAUAUGAGCAUCCAGGUUCCGCUAUUGGUUAUUGACCGGAGAUGUGUCUCGGUCAUGUCUACAUAGUUCUCGAACCCGUAGGGUCCGCACGCUUAAAGUUCGAUGACGGUUAUAUUAUGAGUUUAUGUGUUUUGAUGUACCGAAGAUAGUUCGGAGUCCCGGAUGUGAUCAAGGACAUGACGAGGAGUCUCGAAAUGGUCGAGACAUAAAGAUUGAUAUAUUGGAAGCCUAUAUUUGAAUAUCGGAAGUGUUCCGGGUGAAAUCGGGAUUUUACCGGAGUACCGGGGGUUACCAGAACCCCCCCCCCCCCCCGAGGGGUUUAAUGGGCCAAGAUGGGCCUUAGUGGAGAAGAGGAGGGGUGGCCAGGGCAGGCCGCGCGCCCCCUCCCCCUCUAGUCCGAAUUGGACAAGGAGGGGGGCGGCGCCCCCCUUUCCUUCCUCUCUCCCUCCUCCUUCCCCCUUCUCCUACUCCAACUAGGAAAGGAGGGAGUCCUACUCCCGGUGGGAGUAGGACUCCUCUCUGGCGCGCCUCCUCCUGGCCGGCCGCCUCUCCCCCCUUGCUCCUUUAUAUACGGGGGCAGGGGGGCACCUCUAGACACAACAAUUGAUCUCUUAGCCGUGUGCGGUGCCCCCCCCCCUCCACCAUAAUCCACCUCGAUAAUAUCGUAGCGGUGCUUAGGCGAAGCCCUGCGUCGGUAGAACAUCAUCAUCGUCGCCACGCCGUCGUGCUGACUGAACUCUCCCUCAAAGCUCGGCUGGAUCGGAGUUCGAGGGACAUCAUCGAGCUGAACGUGUGCUGAACUCGGAGGUGCCGUACGUUCGGUACUUGAUCGGUCGGAUCGUGAAGACGUACGACUACAUCAACCGCGUUGUGCUAACGCUUCCGCUUUCGGUCUACGAGGGUACGUGGACACACUCUCCCCUCUCGUUGAUAUGCAUCACCAUGAUCUUGCGUGUGCGUAGGAAAUUUUUUGAAAUUAGUACGUUCCCCAACAGUGGCAUCCGAGCCAGGUUUUAUGCGUAGAUGUUAUAUGCACGAGUAGAACACAAGUGAGUUGUGGGCGAUAUAAGUCAUACUGCUUACCAACAUGUCAUACUUUGGUUCGGGGCGGUAUUGUUGGAUGAAGCGGCCCGGACCGACAUUACACGUACGCUUACGCGAGACUGGUUCUACCGACGUGCUUUGCACACAGGUGGCUAGCGGGUGUCAGUUUCUCCAACUUUAGUUGAACCGAGUGUGGCUACGCCCGGUCCUUGAGAAGGUUAAAACAGCACUAACUUGACAAACUAUCGUUGUGGUUUUGAUGCGUAGGUAAGAACGGUUCUUGCUCAGCCCGUAGCAACCACGUAAAACUUGCAACAACAAAGUAGAGGACGUCUAACUUGUUUUUGCAGGGCAUGUUGUGAUGUGAUAUGGUCAAGGCAUGAUGCUAUAUUUUAUUGUAUGAGAUGAUCAUGUUUUGUAACCGAGUUAUCGGCAACUGGCAGGAGCCAUAUGGUUGUCGCUUUAUUGUAUGCAAUGCAAAUGCCUUGUAAUGCUUUACUUUAUCACUAAGCGGUAGCGAUAGUCGUAGAAGCAUAAGUUGGCGAGACGACAACGAUGCUACGAUGGAGAUCAAGGUGUCGCGCCGGUGACGAUGGUGAUCAUGACGGUGCUUCGGAGAUGGAGAUCACAAGCACAAGAUGAUGAUGGCCAUAUCAUAUCACUUAUAUUGAUUGCAUGUGAUGUUUAUCUUUUAUGCAUCUUAUCUUGCUUUGAUUGAUGGUAGCAUUAUAAGAUGAUCUCUCACUAAAUUAUCAAGGUAUAAGUGUUCUCCCUGAGUAUGCACCGUUGCGAAAGUUCUUCGUGCUGAGACACCACGUGAUGAUCGGGUGUGAUAGGCUCUACGUUCAAAUACAACGGGUGCAAGACAGUUGCACACGCAGAAUACUCAGGUUAAACUUGACGAGCCUAGCAUAUGCAGAUAUGGCCUCGGAACACUGAGACCGAAAGGUCGAGCGUGAAUCAUAUAGUAGAUAUGAUCAACAUAGUGAUGUUCAUCAUUGAAACUACUCCAUCUCAUGUGAUGAUCGGACAUGGUUUAGUUGAUUUGGAUCACGUGAUCACUUAGAGGAUUAGAGGGAUGUCCAUCUAAGUGGGAGUUCUUAAGUAAUAUGAUUAAUUGAACUUAAAUUUAUCAUGAACUUAGUACCUGAUAGUAUUUUGCUUGUCUAUGUUGAUUGUAGAUAGAUGGCCCGUGUUGUUGUUCCGUUGAAUUUUAAUGCAUUCCUUGUGAAAGCAAAGUUGAAAGAUGAUGGUAGCAAUUACACGGACUGGGUCCUUAACUUGAGGAUUAUCCUCAUUGCUGCACAGAAGAAUUACGUCCUGGAAGCACCGCUAGGUGCCGGACCUGCUGCAGGAGCAACACCAGAUGUUAUGAACGUCUGGCAGAGCAAAGCUGAUGACUACUCGAUAGUUCAGUGUGCCAUGCUUUACGGCUUAGAACCGGCACUUCAACGACGUUUUGAACGUCAUGGAGCAUAUGAGAUGUUUCAGGAGUUGAAGUUAAUAUUUCAAGCAAAUGCCCGGAUUGAGAGAUAUGAAGUCUCCAAUAAGUUCUACAGCUGUAAGAUGGAGAAGAAUAGUUCUGUCAGUGAGCAUAUACUCAGAAUAUCUGGGUAUAACAAUCACUUGAUUCAACUGGGAGUUAAUCUUCCGGAUGAUAGCGUCAUUGACAGAAUUCUUCAAUCACUGCCACCAAGCUACAAGAGCUUCGUGAUGAACUAUAACAUGCAAGGGAUGGAUAAGACGAUUCCCGAGCUCUUCGCAAUGCUAAAAGCUGCGGAGGUAGAAAUCAAGAAGGAGCAUCAAGUGUUGAUGGUCAACAAGACCACCAGUUUCAAGAACAAGGGCAAAGGGAAGAAGAAGGGGAACUUCAAGAAGAACAGCAAACAAGUUGCUGCUCAGGAGAAGAAACCCAAGUCUGGACCUAAGCCUGAGACUGAGUGCUUCUACUGCAAACAUACUGGUCACUGGAAGCGGAACUGCCCCAAGUAUUUGGCGGAUAAGAAGGAUGGCAAGGUGAACAAAGGUAUAUCUGAUAUACAUGUUAUUGAUGUGUACCUUACUAAUGCUCGCAGUAGCACCUGGGUAUUUGAUACUGGUUCUGUUGCUAAUAUUUGCAACUCGAAACAGGGACUACGAAUUAAGCGAAGAUUGGCUAAGGACGAGGUAACGAUGCGCGUGGAAAAUGGUUCCAAAGUCGAUGUGAUCGCGGUCGGCACGCUACCUCUACAUCUACCUUCGGGGUUAGUUUUAGACCUGAAUAAUUGUUAUUUGGUGCCAGCGUUGAGCAUGAACAUUAUAUCUGGAUCUUGUUUGAUGCGAGACGGUUAUUCAUUUAAAUCAGAGAAUAAUGGUUGUUCUAUUUAUAUGAGUAAUAUCUUUUAUGGUCAUGCACCCUUGAAGAGUGGUCUAUUUUUGUUGAAUCUCGAUAGUAGUGAUACACAUAUUCAUAAUAUUGAAGCCAAAAGAUGCAGAGUUGAUAAUGAUAGUGCAACUUAUUUGUGGCACUGCCAUUUAGGUCAUAUUGGUGUAAAGCGCAUGAAGAAACUCCAUACUGAUGGACUUUUGGAACCACUUGAUUAUGAAUCACUUGGUACUUGCGAACCGUGCCUCAUGGGCAAGAUGACUAAAACGCCGUUCUCCGGAACUAUGGAGCGAGCAACAGAUUUGCUGGAAAUCAUACAUACAGAUGUAUGUGGUCCAAUGAAUAUUGAGGCUCGCGGCGGGUAUCGUUAUUUUCUCACCUUCACAGAUGAUUUAAGCAGAUAUGGGUAUAUCUACUUAAUGAAACAUAAGUCUGAAACAUUUGAAAAGUUCAAAGAAUUUCAGAGUGAAGUGGAAAAUCAUCGUAACAAGAAAAUAAAGUUUCUACGAUCUGAUCGUGGAGGAGAAUAUUUGAGUUACGAGUUUGGUCUUCAUUUGAAACAAUGCGGAAUAGUUUCGCAACUCACGCCACCCGGAACACCACAGCGUAAUGGUGUGUCCGAACGUCGUAAUCGUACUUUACUAGAUAUGGUGCGAUCUAUGAUGUCUCUUACUGAUUUACCGCUAUCAUUUUGGGGUUAUGCUUUAGAGACGACUGCAUUCACGUUAAAUAGGGCACCAUCGAAAUCCAUUGAGACGACGCCUUAUGAACUGUGGUUUGGCAAGAAACCAAAGUUGUCGUUUCUUAAAGUAUGGGGCUGCGAUGCUUAUGUGAAAAAGUUUCAACCUGAUAAGCUCGAACCCAAAUCGGAGAAAUGUGUCUUCAUAGGAUACCCAAAGGAAAUUGUUGGGUACACCUUCUAUCACAGAUCUGAAGGCAAGACUUUUGUUGCUAAAUUUGGAUCCUUUCUAGAGAAGGAGUUUCUCUCGAAAGAAGUGAGUGGGAGGAAAGUAGAACUUGAUGAGGUAACUGUACCUGCUCCCUUAUUGGAAAGUAGUUCAUCACAGAAACCGGUUCCUGUGACACCUACACCAAUUAGUGAGGAAGUUAAUGAUGAUGAUCAUGAAACUUCAGAUCAAGUUGUUACUGAACCUCGUAGGUCAACCAGAGUAAGAUGCGCACCAGAGUGGUACGGUAAUCCUGUUCUGGAGGUUAUGUUACUAGACCAUGAUGAACCUACGAACUAUGAAGAAGCGAUGGUGAGCCCAGAUUCCACAAAAUGGCUUGAGGCCAUGAAAUCUGAGAUGGGAUCCAUGUAUGAGAACAAAGUGUGGACUUUGGUUGACUUGCCCGAUGAUCGGCAAGCCAUUGAGAAUAAAUGGAUCUUCAAGAAGAAGACUGACGCUGACGGUAAUGUUACUUUCUAUAAAGCUCGACUUGUUGCAAAAGGUUUUUGACAAGUUCAAGGGAUUGACUACGAUGAGACUUUCUCACCCGUAGCGAUGCUUAAGUCUGUCUGAAUCAUGUUAGCAAUUGUCGCAUUUUAUGAUUAUGAAAUUUGGCAAAUGGAUGUCAAAACUGCAUUCCUGAAUGGAUUUCUGGAAGAAGAGUUGUAUAUGAUGCAGCCGGAAGGUUUUGUCGAUCCAAAGGGAGCUAACAAAGUGUGCAAGCUCCAGCGAUCCAUUUAUGGACUGGUGCAAGCCUCUCGGAGUUGGAAUAAACGCUUUGAUAGUGUGAUCAAAGCAUAUGGUUUUAUACAGACUUUUGGAGAAGCCUGUAUUUACAAGAAAGUGAGUGGGAGCUCUGUAGCAUUUCUGAUAUUAUAUGUGGAUGACAUAUUGCUGAUUGGAAAUGAUAUAGAAUUUCUGGAUAGCAUAAAGGGAUACUUGAAUAAGAGUUUUUCAAUGAAGGACCUCGGUGAAGCUGCUUAUAUAUUGGGCAUCAAGAUCCAUAGAGAUAGAUCAAGACGCUUAAUUGGACUUUCAAAAAGCACAUACCUUGACAAAGUUUUGAAGAAGUUCAAAAUGGAUCAAGCAAAGAAAGGGUUUUUGCCUGUGUUACAAGGUGUGAAGUUGAGUAAGACUCAAUGCCUGACCACCGCAGAAGAUAGAGAGAAGAUGAAAGAUGUUCCCUAUGCUUCAUCCAUAGGCUCUAUCAUGUAUGCAAUGCUGUGUACCAGACCUGAUGUGUGCCUUGCUAUAAGUUUAGCAGGGAGGUACCAAAGUAAUCCAGGAGUGGAUCACUGGACAGCGGUCAAGAACAUCCUGAAAUACCUGAAAAGGACUAAGGAUAUGUUUCUCGUUUAUGGAGGUGACAAAGAGCUAGUCGUAAAUAGUUACGUCGAUGCAAGCUUUGACACUGAUCCGGACGAUUCUAAAUCGCAAACCGGAUACGUAUUUACAUUGAACGGUGGAGCUGUAAGUUGGUGCAGUUCUAAAGAAAGCGUUGUGGCGGGAUCUACGUGUGAAGCGGAGUACAUAGCUGCUUUGGAAGCAGCAAAUGAAGGAGUCUGGAUGAAGGAAUUCAUAUCCGAUCUAGGUGUCAUACCUAGUGUAUCGGGUCCAAUGAAAAUCUUUUGUGACAAUACUGGUGCAAUUGCCUUGGCAAAGGAAUCCAGAUUUCACAAGAGAACCAAGCACAUCAAGAGACGCUUCAACUCCAUCCGGGAUCAAGUCCAGGUGGGAGACAUAGAAAUUUGCAAAAUACAUACGGAUCUGAAUGUUGCAGACCCGUUGACUAAGCCUCUUCCACGAGCAAAACAUGAUCAGCACCAAGGCUCCAUGGGUGUUAGAAUCAUUACUGUGUAAUCUAGAUUAUUGACUCUAGUGCAAGUGGGAGACUGAAGGAAAUAUGCCCUAGAGGCAAUAAUAAAGUUAUUAUUUAUUUCCUUAUAUCAUGAUAAAUGUUUAUUAUUCAUGCUAGAAUUGUAUUAACCGAAAACAUAAUACUUGUGUGAAUACAUAGACAAACAGAGUGUCACUAGUAUGCCUCUACUUGACUAGCUCGUUGAUCAAAGAUGGUUAUGUUUCCUAGCCAUUGACAUGAGUUGUCAUUUGAUUAACGGGAUCACAUCAUUAGGAGAAUGAUGUGAUUGACUUGACCCAUUCCAUUUGCUUAGCACUCGAUCGUUUAGUAUUCUGCUAUUGCUUUCUUCAUGACUUAUACAUGUUCCUAUGACUAUGAGAUUAUGCAACUCCCGAUUACCGGAGGAACACUUUGUGUGCUACCAAACGUCACAACGUAACUGGGUGAUUAUAAAGGUGAUCUAAAGGUGUCUCCGGAGGUACUUGUUGGGUUGGCGUAUUUCGAGAUUAGGAUUUUUCACUCCGAUUGUCGGAGAGGUAUCUCUGGGCCCACUCGUAAUGCACAUCACUAUAAGCCUUGCAAGCAUUCAACAAAUGAGUUAGUUGUGGGAUGAUGUAUUACGAAACGAGUAAAGAGACUUGCCGGUAACGAGAUUGAACUAGGUAUUAAGAUACCGACGAUCGAAUCUCGGGCAAGUAACAUACUGAUGACAAAGGGAACAAUGUAUGUUGUUAUGCGGUUUGACCGAUAAAGAUCUUCAUAGAAUAUGUAGGAGCCAAUAUGAGCAUCCAGGUUCCGCUAUUGGUUAUUGACCGGAGACGUGUCUCGGUCAUGUCUACAUAGUUCUCGAACACGUAGGGUCCGCACGCUUAAAGUUCGAUGACGGUUAUAUUAUGAGUUUAUGUGUUUUGAUGUACCGAAGAUAGUUCGAAGUCCCGGAUGUGAUCACGGACAUGACGAGGAGUCUCGAAAUGGUCGAGACAUAAAGAUUGAUAUAUUGGAAGCCUAUAUUUGGAUAUCGGAAGUGUUCCGGGUGAAAUCGGGAUUUUACCGGAGUACCGGGGGUUACCGGAACCCCCCCGGGGGUUUAAUGGGCCAAGAUGGGCCUUAGUGGAGAAGAGGAGGGGCGGCCAGGGCAGGUCGCGUGCCCCCUCCCCCUCUAGUCCGAAUGGGACAAGGAGGGGGUCGGCGCCCCCCUUUCCUUCCUCUCUCCCUCCUCCUUCCCCCUUCUCCUACUCCAACUAGGAAAGGAGGGAGUCCUACUCCCGGUGGGAGUAGGACUCCUCCCUGGCGCGCCUCCUCCUGGCUGGCCGCCUCUCCCCCCGCUCCUUUAUAUACGGGGGCAGGGGGCACCUCUAGACACAACAAUUGAUCUCUUGAUCUCUUAGCCGUGUGCGGUGCCCCCCUCCACCAUAAUCCACCUCGAUAAUAUCGUAGCGGUGCUUAGGCGAAGCCCUGCGUCGGUAGAAUAUGGAACUCUCCCUCAAAGCUCGGCUGGAUCGGAGUUCGAGGGACGUCCUCGAGCUGAACGUGUGCUAAACUCGGAGGUGCCGUACGUUCGGUACUUGAUCGGUCGGAUCGUGAAGACGUACGACUAUAUCAACCGCGUUGUGCUAACGCUUCCGCUUUCGGUCUACGAGGGUACGUGGACACACUCUCCCCUCUCGUUGCUAUGCAUCACCAUGAUCUUGCGUGUGCGUAGGAAAUUUUUUGAAAUUACUACGUUCCCCAACAUGUCCACGCAUAAAUUUUAAAAGGCCCGCGGACAUAGAUCAUGUCAGCGGCCAUGCCAUCGGCCAAAGUUCAUGUCGGUGCUAUGCCAGCCUCCAAAAAAGCCACCACACAGUUCAUGCUGGCGCACUUGCCAGCGGUCGGCACACAUACCAGCACACAAAAAGGGGCGGGAAUUUGACCACGCCAUCUCGGCCGUGGUCAUGCCGGCAUACAAAAAACAGAUGGCGCUCUCCGCCAUAGAUCACUCGUCGUCUUGCAGGUGCUUCUCCUCCCUUGCGUCCUUCUUGCUCUCCACGAUUGCAAGCAAAGAAAUCGGCGCCGCAUCGCGCUUGUCCUCCUUCUUGGAGUUGGUCUUCCCCCGCGGCCGUGACUUUUCGCCCUCCCCAAGCUCCUCCACGGCUUCCUCCCCCCCCCCACGCGACAUGAGGAUGGCAUAUUGCGCCUUGAACUUCUCCUACCCCUUGAUGACCAUCCAAUAAUGGGAGAGGUGGAAGGAUUUACCAUCAUGUUGGACCUUGAAUGCCUCCAAAGCCUGGAAUGCCUACAAAUGAAUAGCAUGCAAGCAUAUGGGAAAAUGGACAUGCAAGCAUAAACGAAAACAGAAACGGAUACGAAGAGGGGCACAUGUAUACCAUAUCUUGCAUGCCGAUGCCGCUCAUGGGGCGUGCCUUGAUGGUCUCAAGGGUGGCACAAAACUUGUUGUACUCUUGUUGUAUCACCCUCCAUCGCUUCAAGAGGGACACCCACCCAUGGUUGCUUUGCAUUUGGUAUGGCGCAAACUUCUUGCGUUCAUGGUACUCGCGAUGCACACGAAUCCAAAAGGUUGAUGCCUUUUGUUCAGCGCUGACCUUGGGGUAUUGCCCAAUAUCCCUCCAACACUCACAAAGGAGCUUGUCCUUGGACGGGGUGUAUGCCUUCGUCGGCUUGCUUUUGCACUUCGGCUUUGUAAGUGCUAGUGCCACUCCUAGUUGGUUUUGGAGUAUUGACGACAAACUUGGUUGAGGGACUAAUGUGUUUGUGAGAAUUGCAGGAUAACAUAGGUUGUAGUCCCUUAUUGAUUCGGUUUACCUACCAGAGAUGACCCCUAAAAUGUAUGAAGACAUUGAAGAUAAUGGUGGUUCGUGAAGACAUUCACGACGAAGAUUAUGACAUGUGAUGACAUUCACUUGAAGAUUAUGGAGUGCGAAGACAUAGUUGUUUCGUAGUUUCCUUUUCUUCUUUAUUGAGUCAUAGGAACCACCGUACUGUUAAGUGGGGUCCAAGUGAACAAAGUCAGAGUGACUGAAGUGAUGCUCAACCAAAAUCCUAUGUCUUCGAGCGAAGACAAUGUGAGUAAAUCUUAUCCAGAACUAGAUGAGUCAGCUCUACUUGUAGCCCAAGUCAAGCUGCCGCGUGUGUUUGAAAUCCUACCGUUGGACACGUGUCGGUUCCUUAGUGACCCAGGGUCAUUUCGGACAUAUCAGGUCGGGUUGCCUCCUGGCUAUAAAUAGCCCACCCCCUACACCCUAAAUCGGUGGCUGCUCAGAGUUAGUGCACGGCUUUUGUCGUUUGACAGCAACCCACCUCCGAAGUCUUUGAGGGAGAGAUCCUUGCGAGGACAAAGCCCAAAACACCCAGAGCCAAAGAGUGAUAGGCAUCACUGAAGUCCUUCUGUCCGCGUGACCUGAAGACUUGUUACACUUGAGGACUGUGAAUCCUCCAGCCGGUUAGGCGUCGCGUUCUGAGCAUCCAAGAGUCAUUGUGGAUCGCCGGUGAGCGAAGUCUAUGAAGGUUUGGAAGUCUACCUUGAAGACUUACCAGAGUGAUUGGGCGAGGACUGGGUGUCCUUAGCUCAAGGGGAAUAAGGUGAAGACGCGGUCUUCUGAGUUCAAUCUCAGCCUCCCUAACCAGACGUACAGUUGUCACAGCAACUGGAACUGGUCUACCAAAUCCUUGUCUUCACCAAGCAACUGGUUCUAUCCCCCACUCCCCUUUACUUUUCUGUUUGUCUUCGUGAAGUCAUUGCUUGCCUGUCUGAUCUGAUUGACUUCACUGUGUGAAGACUGUUACCUGUUUGGCUUCAUACUGUCUUCCAUCCUGAUCCAUACUACCUAGUUGUUGAUAGUCUUCGUACUUUCACUACAUUUCUUACUUGACUAUGGCUUGUCUAGUGUAGUAUAUCUUCCGCUGCAUAUCAAUAGGUUCAUUUCAUCUGUUUGUCUUCAAAGACCUCGUGUUUUGAAGACUNNNNNNNNNNNNNNNNNNNNNNNNNNNNNNNNNNNNNNNNNNNNNNNNNNNNNNNNNNNNNNNNNNNNNNNNNNNNNNNNNNNNNNNNNNNNNNNNNNNNNNNNNNNNNNNNNNNNNNNNNNNNNNNNNNNNNNNNNNNNNNNNNNNNNNNNNNNNNNNNNNNNNNNNNNNNNNNNNNNNNNNNNNNNNNNNNNNNNNNNNNNNNNNNNNNNNNNNNNNNNNNNNNNNNNNNNNNNNNNNNNNNNNNNNNNNNNNNNNNNNNNNNNNNNCCUCGAACAAAGGCUCCCCAUCGAUGUUCAUAUCAUCCUCUUCCUCGAGGACUCGUGGUCGAGCGGGAAGCUGGCCAGGCCGACCUGAUCUUGCAUGAACGCGUCCUCCAUGCCAGCUUGAUCAUAGGUCGAUGGUGUGAAUGGCGCUCGGCAGUCUUGGCUUUGGGUCUCCUCGGGAUCGUAGGCAGCUGCGGCGGCACCGCCAGCGAAGGCAGUGGCCGCCGCACCACCUUCGAAGAUGAUGUUCUCCAUGAUGGAACGGCUGGCCCUUUCGUCCUUGCUGACCAUCGGCAUUAUGUCGAACAGGUUGCGUGCGCCGGGGAGCAUGUCGGCUGGCAUCUCCCGCGGGUAUUUCCUCGCUCCUCCAGAGGAUGAUGAACUGGCCACCGGCAUGGCAUUGAGGUCGAUGGCCACGGGCGCGGGCAUGGACAGCACCACCACGCUCACCUCCGGCGAGCAUUCCCCGGAGAAGCGGGAAGCUUGCGGAUAGACGUGGAAGCCGGGAAUCGGUUGUGUGGCAGACGUGCGCGGUGACUCUGGCAGCACCAUGCGAGCAAACGUUGACGAGCCCGUGCUAGCCGCGGCCACGGAGGCGCUAAUGAGCCCGUGCUGGCCAGGAUUCAACCCUAGGUACAUCAGGGCCUCCCUCGUUGCAACAGCGACUGGGGCAUUGGUUUCCUCUUGCUGUGCGGCGGCGGAGAGGGCGGCGACGGCCGCCGCUUGGUCUCUUGCGUACGAUGCGUGCCUCCGGUCCUUUCGCUUCGCCAACUGCACGGCCCGCUCCUCGGGCGUUAGCUUCUUCUUCUUGGGCAGCGCCACGAUCUUGCCGGGCGCACGGGGAUUUCCUUUCGCGGAGGCGAUGGAGGCGAGGUCGGGCGAGGCCGGCGGCAGCAUCGAGGGUCGGCGCAUCGUCGACCAUGGCUGGGAGCGUGAGCGAGCGGGAGGGUUUUGGGAAAGUGGAGGGAAAUGGUGGUCGUUGUGCCACCGACUGGCGGGCCAGGGGGAGGAGUAGGCACGUGUCGCGCAUGUCCGUUUCGUGUCCGCGCCGACGCAAAUGAGGCUCAAAUUUAGGCCGGGAAUGGGUCGGCAGGCGGCGAAAGGCGGACGCGCGUUCGUUUGGGUCGGCGCGUUGGGCCAACUUUUUUGUCCUCGGCAACCCAAACGGAUGCGCGCAGACGAAAUGGGUCGGCGCGUUGGAGUUUCUCUAAGGGACUAAAACCUGAGUGUACACUUAGCAAACAUAUUAGUCCCUAUAAUUGUGUGACAUCAAUACUAAAACAACAUUAGGGGCCAAGAUGUACUUUCACCCUCUCAAUGGGACACUUUAGAGUCACAAUUAAGAAAAAUAAUGUCAAUAGCAAGAAUGAUUUGGCAUGAGUUUUUUUUUACAAUUCCUAUUUUCCUUCUAUUGUCAUACAAAUCCAACACCUUUCCUGCAAAAGUUUUGACUCUUCUUACUGGAUAUCUCAUCAAAUUUUCACUUCCCUUGUGACACACCCAUGCCACAAGAUCUCCCCAGUAAUGACCUUGAGCAAUUUUUUGCCAAACAUAGCUUGGAUUUAUGAUAAUCCAAGAGUAUCCAUGACACCGUUCAUAUUCGAUGAUAGCACAUGGAAUUAAGUAGGCAAGUAGCAAUAGGUGCAAUGACAUUUGACAAUGAAGGAGAUGUAGUGCAUUUAGCACAUCGAGGAAGUUCUUCAGUUGGAUCAAGUUAAGAGUACAUUUUUGUACAUAACUUGACGAGCUGCCCGAUGAGGCUCCAAGCUUGUAACUUUUGCACGUAUGAUGUUUCUUCAUGGAUCUCCAUGGUACUGUUGUGAAAUCUUCUUGGUGUUGCCUAUUCUCCUUGAGAUAUCACCACAAAGGUGAUUAGCAACCACUAGUGUUAGACCUUGAGACGGCAUCCAAACCUUCACAAACUUUUCGGGGGGAAAUCACAAGUUGAUUCCUCAUAGGUCCAUCUCGGUCAUUUCACCCCCAACCCAUUCAUAGGUUCCAAAUCACUGCAAAUCCAAACAAGAAGACCUCGGAGGGUCCGUAGGAAACAUGCUCGACAACUUUGAAUGAACUAUUGUUAGCCUAUCCUAGAAGGGUCUGAAUGAAUGGAACAAAGGGUUUUGUAAAAUUCACUUAUCCCAAUUCGAAGGUUCCGACUACUCGCCAUUCAGAUGGUACGGAUUAUAUUGGGACCUAGGGAUGUCGCUAGUGAUCAAUAUCGAGAUGUUUGGACGGAUAUGUCUAUAGUGUCCAAUUUCUUUGAAACCAAACUUCACUGGCUAGAGGGUCUUGGACGAAUUCACUUGGAGGAACCGAAUGAGAGUAGGACCUUCUUUGGCAUCAUGUAAUGCAUGAACCACCCGGUCGAAGGGUCUGAACAACACUUAAAGUAACUCGAACACUCUUUAAAGGACUCGAGGUUCCAAAGAUAAUGCACUCGAAGGCUCGGGACAUGAAAAGAGGAGAGGAUAUGGGUGGAAGAGUGAGGGGUUUUGUGCGAGUUCUGGAAGUCUAGGUUUGAGCACUUAGCAAGAAAUAUCUUCUCAUCACAAAGUCCAAUAUCCCCUGGUUUCUUCGACCACAAAAGGCUAGAAAUAUCAUUAAUCUUAUCGAUCAUUUCUCAUAGUUUUUUAGGGGUCAAGAACAUCUCUACCAACUAGGUGGACUAGAAAUGAUUAAUACUUGAGCAAAAUGUUCGACCAUCAAUCUUGUCUUGAAUCGUCAAAACCCAGUAUGGGGGCCUAGAUGCACUUUCCACCUUUAUUAUACGAGGUAUUAUUUUGUAGAUGUAUAUACUAGUAUUUUAGUUUUGUCUUGUACAUAUGCGACGAUACAUACACAAAUAUAUGAGUACACUCUCGUACAAAUUGUAGAUCUUCAAAACGUUGAACAAAACCAAACUAAGAGUACCUCAUAUGGUUAGGUUCCACUAGUGCUCCCAUUUUUCUGGAUUUAGGCUUUUCGACGAUGUUCGUUUGGUGCGAGCAGAUGUUCCCGUCGACUAUGAGGCAUCUGUGGUGAUUUCGUCAAUCCCACGAUGUGAUGUAGGCUCGGUAUCUCAAAGGUGCUCAUAGGGGUCGUGCAUGUGCAUUCAUAGGGGUUGUACUGUGUUAAAUAAAAGUGUUGAACGAAAAAUUUGAAAAUUGACAUUACUACUAAUUCUAUUUCGAUCCAAACACCGAAACUAAUGGAAUUGAUCACCAAUUAUAUUGCUUGAGGAACUGGAAUUGGUAAACGGAUCCUAAGUAGAAUUUCAAUUGUCUACUGUCUACUUACCCUCUAUAGUCAAAAAACGGCAGCGCUAUAUCUAGCAUUCAGCGAGACGGUAGAAUACCUCGCUGAAGCGUCUACAGUAGUUGGGCCAGCCCAUCCGCACACAUUAAAGGAAAAGGAGAAUGAAAAAGUAGGAGAACGCAGCUUCUAGUUAGUGAUAAGUAGUACGGGCACAACCUACUCGAGGCGAUUGGACUGGUUUCCUCCGGGUUUUUUUCUUUUGUUUCUUUUCUUCUUCCUACCCUAAAUUUUUUUCAUUCUUUUUUCUUCUACAUCAGCUUACAUACAUAGUAUUACUACCAUUUUCUUUUUCUUCUCUGAUUUUUUCAUUCUUUUUGCAUUUGUUUCUUUGUUUUUAAUUUANNNNNNNNNNNNNNNNNNNNNNNNNNNNNNNNNNNNNNNNNNNNNNNNNNNNNNNNNNNNNNNNNNNNNNNNNNNNNNNNNNNNNNNNNNNNNNNNNNNNNNNNNNNNNNNNNNNNNNNNNNNNNNNNNNNNNNNNNNNNNNNNNNNNNNNNNNNNNNNNNNNNNNNNNNNNNNNNNNNNNNNNNNNNNNNNNNNNNNNNNNNNNNNNNNNNNNNNNNNNNNNNNNNNNNNNNNNNNNNNNNNNNNNNNNNNNNNNNNNNNNUGUGUUUCUUUGAUAUAAUUUUUUGAUUUAUUUUUUUCUUUUUUAUGUUUUGUUUAAUUUUUUGUUUCUUUUGGUUUUCAUUUUACAUUUUUUAUAUGUCAGCACCAUUUUUUUAAUAAUGUUUAACAUUUCUCAAUGCAAUUUUAAAAAAAAUACAUGGUCAACUGGUUUUCUUUACAUAUUUUUAAACAUUUUAUGAAUACAUGGUCAACAUUUUUUCUACACACACUUUUAAACUUUUUCAAAUGCUUGAUUAACAUUUUUCAAAUACAAGAUUUACAUUUCUAGUACAUGGUCAACAUUUUUUCUAUGCAAAAUUAACAUUUUUUCCAAAUCCUUGAUUAACAUUUUAUAAAUGCAAUAUUAACAAUUUUAUCACAUGGACAACAUUUUUUCUAAAUAUAUUUAACAUUUCUCAAAUGCUUGGUUAACAUUUUUCGAAUACUUGUUCAACAUUUUCCAAAUGCUUGAUUAACAUUUUUAUAGACAUGAUCAAAAAAAUAAUCAUUUUUUAAAUACAUGGUCAACAUUUUUUCUCUAGACAUUUAACAUUUUUCAGAUACUUUUCAACAUAUUUUCAAAUGGUUGAUCAACAUUUUUAUAUACAUGAUCGAAUUACUUUCAUCAUUUUUUUAAUACAUGGUCAACACUUUUGUAUACACAAUUCACAUUUCCAAAUGCCUACGUAACAUUUUUUCAAAUGCUUGAUUUACUUUUUUAAAACACAUGAUCAAAUUGUUUCAUGCCCAUUUUAUUUAUAUCUUGUACUAUAAAUUCUUCGUAUACAUGAUAUACAUUUUCUCUAUACACGUUUAACAUUUUUCAAAUGUUUAAUCAACAUUUUUCAAACGUUUUGUGUAGAUUCAUUUUUGUAAUUUAUUUAUUUAGAAUAUUAGGAAGUAUAAACAAAAGUAAACAAAAAACAAAAACGUGAAAAAAAACAGAAAAUAAGUGUUGUUGUUUCUCAUGCGCCUGGGCCGGCUCAAUUCACGCACCCUUCAGCGAGGGUUGCCUCUAUCUCGCUGGGCUGAAUCCCGAAAUCACUAGUUGAGGAGUACUCGUUGCAAAGAUCACUCCAACUCCCCUGGUUGCAACAAGUGGCGAACAUGCACGCCACUUGUCGCAACCUGAGAGUUUUCCCUUUUUCCGUAGACCCGUUUAUUCAAAACGUUUUAUCUCUCAAACCGUGCGUCCAAAUCUCUAACCGCUUUCACCGUUGGAUUCCUCGCGUCGAGAUCUUCAAAACUAGAUCUCGUGUUGAUAGGUUUUGACGAACUUUUUUUUCACGAAAAAAACCCGACAAAAAACUGACCGGGAGCACGGGUUUUUUUCCUUUCCGAAAGAGGCACGUCCGUGCCUCUCACGAAAAUCACAACCGUGCCUCUUGUGGAAGCAAAACCGUGACUCGCGAAAGGGGAAAAAAAGAGAAAACGCAUUUUUUUUCGUUUCCGAGGAGGCACGGCCGUGACUCUCGCGAAAGCACAACUGUGCCUCUCGCGGAAGCAAAACCGUGACUCUCGCGAAAGAAAAAAAUAGAAAACAUGUUUUUUUCGUUUCCGAGAGGCACGGCCGUGACUCUCGCUAAAGCUCAACCGUGCCUCUCGCGGAAGCAAAACUGUGACUCUCGCGAAAGGAAAAAAACAAAAAACAUUUUUUUUCAAGAGGCGCGGCCGUGACUCUCGUGAAAGCAAACCGUGCCUCUCGCGGAAGCAAAACCAUGACUCUCGCGAAAGGAAAAAGAAAAAAAGAAAACGCGUUUUUUCGCGCAAAAAGAAAUUCCAAAUUUUUUUCCCGAAAAGCUAAGGAAGACCGGUGGAAAACCAAAACGUCAAAAAAGAAGCUGAAAAUAAAACCGUUUAAAAAAGCAGAAAACGCGUGCGGAAAAAUAAAAAAAUUCCAAAGGAAGCGUUCAGAGCGCGACACGUGGCGAAUGGCUGAGAACGUGCCAAGUGGCGUUGGUCGUUGCGAGGCUCCCGGAGAAGCGCUCGUUAACUAGUUGCUCUCGCUGAAUCCGAGAUUCUUCUAAAAAAAAACCUGAAUCCGAGACAUGGGCCCGCCCAGAUAGGUUCCUAACGCCACCACCAUUGCUUGCCGUAACAAUGCUAAUUAUCAUGUUUCAAAUGGAAUUUGCGUCAUAAUGCACCGUCAAUGGAAGAAACUAAUUAUCAUGUUUCAAAUGGAAUUUGCGUCAUAAUGCACCGUCAAUGGAAGAAACACAGGAGGAUUACGGCAUGGUUGAGCAAAGGCAUGAGAGGAGGUACGAAAAGGGGAGCAAGAAUGACCUUGCAGCCCCAUGGUACUAAGGCUCCGUUCGGAAGCUCUCGAGGAGCUGGCUUCCAAAAAUCGCUCCGAGAAGUCGGCCGAACGACUCCGCUCCGAGAAGCUGGCUCCGCGGAGACGAGUUCUAGGCAGUGCAAAUAUCACGGAGAUGAGGAGCUGCGCUGGCUCAGCUUCACAAAAAUCAGAAGCUGGAGUUCAUCAAAAUUACGCUAGCAAUGCCACCCCGAAGUAACACUGAGUCGAAUCGUUUUCCUCCAUCAAAGCCCAGCCUGAUGGCCCGACUAGCAGCCCGUACAGAAACGAACGCCCACCUGCUCUGCUCUUGCAACCCUAGCCACCGGCCGGCGCCCCAUCGCCGGCCGGCCACCCCGCCAUCGUCCGCCGCCGCAGACCCCUUGGAUCUACGCCUCGUCUCGCAGAUCCCUGUCCACCGCCGUUUGCAGCAGCCGCCACUCCCCAUCAGCCACCACUCCCGCAGGUCUGCGAUCAUCUCCGCCAUCUGCCACCACUCCCUCCAUUGAUCGCCGCCGGCAGCUGCAUGAACUAGAGCUCCUGAACGGGCAUGCCACAAGAUCCACGCCGGAGAAAGCCGUUCCCCCAGCUCAAGGUGAGCAGCCACCUCCAGCGUAGCCGAACAGGCUGGGAGCUGCAGCAGUGAGCCGAACGCUUCCUGCUCCUCACAGAAGCUGGCUGCUGGCCGGAUGAGAAGCGGGAGCCAGCGAGUUUUGGAAGCGAGAGGACUUCCGAACGGGGCCUUAGUGGCACGUAAGAUGACUCAGGAUGUGCAGACCACAGUUUCACAACAUAAUCUAAAGAAACUAACAUAAACAAGCUAUUUUAACAAUGAUUCAGCACCCGGUCCUUCAAUAACACCACCUCCUAUAACUAUCAUGAGUGCAAAAAAUGUCGCAGGCGAUGUACAUAUACAGCCAUAGAAAAUAACUGCCAGUCAACACGGAGAUAUAUACAUAUGCUGCUAACUCAGAACCGGGGAUCAACUAACUACGAAGGUGCAUGAUCUGGGUGAGGAUUCAAAAAAUGGAUGAUGCCACCAUCAUAUGCCUGCAUUCUGAUUGUUGCCAGCCAGGAUGAGAGAAAUCUCCAAACCUCUGCUGAAAGCCUGGUUGAACAGUAGCCGUGUCUGGAAGGUGGAGAUGAAGGGAAACCAGGAGCAGAUGGCUAUGGGCACAAAAAUGAUCAUUCCCAUGCCAGCAUCAUACAGACGAGCCAGCGAGCGCACUAUUUUCCACAAACCCAAUCUCUUCACAAUUGGUUUCCAUGCCACAGCAAUCUGCAGAAGCAAAAACAAGAUCGAUAAAGAUUUGGUUAGUAAGAACUCUUGUAUCCUGAAAUUUGGAUUUGUUUUCUUUGAGAUAAAAAUCUAUAUGGUGUUUGAAACAGUUGUACGGUAGUAAAGAUAUCUCCGCCUGUCGAGCUAACAAUGGAGCAACAUUCUGUUACUAUGCAAAGGUAAACCACAUGGAAGACUUGACAUAUACCAUCUGUGUCAUCAUUCUAUAUAUAAAUCCUUUCAUUAGCUACGCAACAUGAGCAGAUCCACUACCAAGUUUUAAGUUGCGUAAUAACCAACUAGCCUUUACUAUCCAGUGUCAUUUUGAACAAUGGCACGGUUUCCGAAAUGCAGGAUUUCAUGGUACCAAAGUUGCCACAUGAAACUCACCGAAAGAAUUCCCCAUCCAGUAGGGACAUAUGCUAGGAUGGAAGCAAGUACAUCUAAAACAGUGAG
rnacentral:lncRNA from 1 species